GGAGACUUGUAAAUUUCGGGGUGAGGAACAUUUUUAAAAGUGCCUGUCUGCACCCUGACUCCCUGUGAGACCACAGUGAUUUCAAAUCCUCGCUGAGGGUCUCUGUUAAGUAAAGACAAAUCUGAGACUCUCUAGGGCCCGGCUCUAGGCUCUGCACCUUUCCUCCAAGCCUGCUUCCCAGGCUGGGGUUGGGCAGAUUCGAGGGCAAGAAGCCUUCGGCAGAGUCUUGGCUUUCCUCCUCCUCCUGGGAUGCCAGGAGGGCAACUGCAGCCGUGGCGUGUCUGGGGGCCCACCUUCUGCUUUCUGCUCCACAGAAGUGGCCAGCUAUGGGGAGGAGCUGCCAUUCGCUGUCAAGGAUGCAUGCCUGGACAUUGCAAGGCAGGUUGCUUGCUACCCAGGUGCACGAAGACUUCGUUCCACUCAGCUCAGGACACACAGCUCGAUGUCAGCGUGAAAAGCCAGGGACCUACAUUGCGAACCAGAACCCCUCACGCGGCGACAGACGACAGACGGCACCGACUACCUACUGCCGAAGCUGAAUGCCCUCCACAGAGACUGCAAGGACACUGCCCUGCUCACACCUGAGCCCCAGGAGAGAAGCACGUGGAGCCACCACCUGAAUUCCAGAUACCAGCUGGCUCCUUGUGAAGUGGGAUGGCGGCUUCAAAUGUGUGCCUGGUGGGGGCCUGAGUCUGUGGAGGGGCGCACGGUGCAAAAAGAGCCCACACCAGUGGUCAUGCCGGCCCUGCCCAGGAUGCUGGAG